UCUUUAUGAAACCUCGUCUCAACUAAAUGA
rnacentral:piRNA from 1 species